UGUAGCUAAGAAUAUGAGACCAAUUACUAAACUGUUGACUAUUCUAUUUAUAAGAAUAUUUAAGGAUGUCAAUAAUUUUGCCCCUACGUUUUAGAGAUUUUUUAAAUGACUUGUUGAACAAAAUCUCUUUCUCUGAGAAAUUGUGUCCUGUGGUGGAGAGGCCUGCAAAAGUCAGGCCACAGAGGUGUCUACAGUCUCUGCCGCCAAGCCUCCCUGUCUCCGAUAACACAUCCAGCGCAGAAGACGAGCCCUCACACCACUUGACAAGACACCUCUGGCUGAACUCCCCUUACCCCUACCCCUGUCCACCCCCCUUCUUAGGCUGCUCUCUACUCCUGCACACUUCUCACACCGCCUCCCCUCACGCACCCUUAUGAGUGGAUGCUGGAAUACCUGGAAGUCUAUCUCCAGUGUACGCACGCACACACACACACACACACACACACACACACACACACACACACACACACACACACACACACACACACACACACACACACACACACACACACACACACACACACACACACACACACACACACACACACACACACACACACACACACACACACACCCACCCCAGGGUCAGUCCCUGCCUCUAUCUACCCAGCAGCCCAAACCCAGCAGUGUCCUGCCCACACAACUUGACCAGGUGAGCAUCACGGUGAAGCUCUGCCUCUGGGCUCAGGCCUCUCAGCAGCCAUUCAUCAUCCAGCCGACACAUUCCUGCUGAACGCCUGGGAGGCUUACGCUCCUCUCGGACGCCUACGACCCAGCAGCCUACUGGCCCUGGGAUGAGCUCACUGAAAAGCCACAGCUGACUUUGUUUUAAGACACACAGAGCAUCCAGGUGGAGAGAUCAGAAUCCAGUACAGGAGGAAGACCUGGGAAGAUGCAAUGAUCACAAUGCGGCCCCCAUGCUGAGGGCAGUUGUCACCAGGCUCUUUCACACAUCAAGUCCCAGGCCUCGUCACUUCCUGGGCCUUGUGCUAGCCCCACAGUAGCGCUCUGUCACUCCAUAGGGGAGACGCUUCAAAAGAGCUUGAUGAAAGCUAAGGAGGGAUGGGGCCUGGGGGACGUUUAUCUUUGUGUUGUGUACCAAGGCCUCUUUCAUGUCAAACAAACCCUCUCUAGCAUUCCCCAAUGUACUACAUGCUCAAAACUCAAAGACAAAGGUGGUUGAAAAUGGUAGUGAUCGAGGGGUAGGAUAGUUGAAGGUGCGUGCAAUGCUAUCAAUGUCACGAGCUAGCUACACAAACUGCAACUCCAAAAGCUAGGUACUGUAGCCACGGUCUCAUACAGAGUGCUAGUAUUCCAAUGAUAUACUGGUAGGUUACCAGUUCAUACAUCACACUGCUUUAAACACAAAAUCAAAUGGUAUUUCUGUAGAACAACAAUGAAAUGCUUACUUACAGGUCCUUCCCAACAAUGCCAAGAGAAAAAUAAUAACACAAGGAAUAAAUACACAAUGAGUAAUGAUAACGUAGCUAUAUACACAGGGUACUAGGACCGAGUCGAUGUGCUGGGGUACGAGGUAAUUGAGGUAGAUAUGUACAUAUACAGUGGCUUGACAUGAUUUUUUUAUGAUUAACCCUUCCUCUGUCCCCCAUACAUACAACAUAUGUUUGGUCCCUCAAUCAAGUAUUGAAUUUCAAGCACAGAUUCAACUACAAAGACCAGGGAGCUUUUAGAAAGCCUCAUAAAGAAGGGCAGUGAUUGGUAGAUGGGUAACAAUAACAAAUCAGACAUACAAUAAUCUCUUUAUAUACACUAUUAAGGGUGAAAUUCAGAGGGUGAAUGGGCAAGACAAAAGAUGCAAGUGCCUUUGAACGGGGCAUGGUAGUAGGUGCCAGGCGCACAGGUUUGUGUCAAGAACUGCAACACUGCUGGGUUUUCCACGCUCAACAGUUUCCCUUGUGUAUCAAAAUGGUCUACCACUCAAAGGACAUCAAGACAACUUGGCACAACUGUGGGAAUCAUUGGAGUCAACACCUUGUCGACUCCAUGCCCGACACAUUGAGACUGUUCUAAGGGCAAAAAGGAGUGCAACCCUAUAUUAGGAAGGUGUUCUUAAUGUUUUGCUUAAUACUUAUGCAACGACUAUAUUUUUGCUAAUUUCUAUUCAUCUUUAAAAAAUAUAUAUAAUUUUUCUUCCCCUUUGACAUUGGAGUA